UUCAUGUUUUGUUGUUUUUAUGUUGUGGGAAUGGAUGGCAUGGGAAAAUGAAAAAAAAAAAAAAAGAUUUUAUAAAUGAAUUUAUAUGUUAUUGCUGUUUUCUUGGACUUCACUCACAGGGCCAACAUCCUUACUUAGUUCUUCCACGAUCUUUCCUUCUUUGUUAAGUCUUACUGGCCUAACUUUGAGUUCUCGUCUUCCAU
rnacentral:lncRNA from 1 species